rnacentral:misc_RNA from 1 species
AAAGUGCGAUACGUAAUGCGAUCCGCGCGAAUCUGUGAGUCAUCCAAUCUUUGAACGCAACUUGCGCCCGCCCCGCCCGUCGGUGGCAGGCAUGUCUGUUUGAGAACCGCCUCUCCAUAACCAACCUUGGUUGGUUGAGCUGUCCGCUUUGCCUCGGCAACCGGAUUAAACGCCGCAAGCGACGCCGCGCCGGCCGCCCACGCAUGUGCUAGAGCCUCGGCUUCUCAUGCGGCGGCGACCGCGCGGCUGCUGCCACGCAGCACCUCAUCAAACGGUCUCAAAUCAGGCAGGACUACCCGCUGAGUUUAA